UGAAAUCUGUUCUAGAUAUAUGAUCUUUUGCUGAUUUUGAAAUAAAGAUAAAUUAGUAGAUCAGUUCCACUUUUAUGCAAAUGAGCUUAAUUAUGAUGUAUUCAUGGCUUUCAAAUUAGAACAUGAGCUCACUCUACAUGUCAUUAGAUAAAGGAUCAUAUAAUUCCUCUUGGUUUGUUUUCAAUCUCAUAAAAGAUUACUGAUUGUUCAAGCUUCUUUCGGCGUACAGAGUCGUUAGGUGCCUUCUAAUUGGUAACAGAUUUUGCAAUUUCUCAUCUAGUAGCAUUGAUUGUUUGAAUAUCUUGCUUCCAUAUCAAGAUUUCUCAUUUUUCUGUUCCCUCUUUUUCUUUUUUUCUUUGUGAUUUUCACUGUUUAUAAGGAUACUAAUUCAUAUACAGAAGAAGGAGAAAAAGAAGAAUAAAGAAGCUGCUCAGGAAGGAAGAAGUGCAGCCACUUCAGCUGCUUACAGAACAUUGGCACAAGAGCUCACUGAACAGCAGUUUCCCGCACCCUGUAUCCUGGCGUUCAAAGACAUGCCUCAACAAUUGAAAGUGAGGCUUCUAGAAGAGGUGGGAGAGCACGAUAGAGAACGGAUUGUCUGUAAGCACGAUAUUUUCAUGCCAUAGAUUGUGUCAUGAGUUUCUUGGGUUUGAAACUAUUGAUAUAUGGUUUUUUAUUUGAUUUCUUUGUUGAUAUAUGUGUGGAUGUGAUCUUUUAUAUUUUAUUUUUAAGUUUACGACUUCCUGGCUAUUUAUAUGAUGUUUUUGUUUAUAUGAAUGAAUAUUCCUUUGAUGUUGUUUAUUGAUUUUAUAAUUUGUGUUAGAAACUAGGAAGUAUUCCUUGUGGUUAUUUCAUUUGAUUAUGCUAACUUAAAUUUGAUAUGAAUGCCAAUGAGUUAAUUUCAGUUCAUUAAUAAGUGCUCCAAAUGUACUCUUAGAGUUUCCUACAUACCUUCACAUCUUUGCAAUUCAAUUUAAUAAGUUCUCCACUAUUCCUUCAUGUUUUCUUUGGAUUGCAAAAGAAAAUUAUUAGAAAUG